rnacentral:rRNA from 1 species
GAUGAACGCUGGCGGCGUGCCUAAUACAUGCAAGUCGAGCGAAUGGAUUGAGAGCUUGCUCUUAUGAAGUUAGCGGCGGACGGGUGAGUAACACGUGGGUAACCUGCCCAUAAGACUGGGAUAACUCCGGGAAACCGGGGCUAAUACCGGAUAACAUUUUGAACCGCAUGGUUCGAAAUUGAAAGGCGGCUUCGGCUGUCACUUAUGGAUGGACCCGCGUCGCAUUAGCUAGUUGGUGAGGUAACGGCUCACCAAGGCAACGAUGCGUAGCCGACCUGAGGGGGUGAUCGGCCAGACUGGGACUGGAAAACGGCCCAGACUCCUACGGGAGGCAGCAGUAGGGAAUCUUCCGCAAUGGACGAAAGUCUGACGGAGCAACGCCGCGUGAGUGAUGAAGGCUUUCGGGUCGUAAAACUCUGUUGUUAGGGAAGAACAAGUGCUAGUUGAAUAAGCUGGCACCUUGACGGUACCUAACCAGAAAGCCACGGCUAACUACGUGCCAGCAGCCGCAGUAA